rnacentral:misc_RNA from 1 species
GCCAUUUUUGCGACACAUUUCACAGCCCUCAGUGCAUGCAGAGUUCAGGACUGAAAACAUCAACUUGAUGAAACGCAGCAUCCCUUCAAUGCUAUCAACGGGUUUGAGAAGCAUAAUCCCCAUAUUGCGGUACAGCAAGAUGCUUCUACUGAGCUCAACAUCGGACGAAAAAAUCAUCUCCACGAUCAAACAACUGUCCACAAAAACUGCAAGAGCAUUUUCUAUUGCAAGUGAUUUAACAUUUGUAACUGUUGCAGAGUUUACAAAGCGUAAAGCGUCGUGAUAAUAUGCAUACUUUUUUUCUUCGUGCAAAAGAAUAUCAAUCCUAGAUAGGAAUGCCUUGAUUAUAUUACAGUGGUUGAAUUCUGCUUUUUGUACGAUUUUGAUUGAUGGAGGAUAAAGUUUUGUUAAAUACUUGAGCGUUCUGCAGAUAACAUACUGCCCAUGGGUAUUGGCAACUACUUCCAGGAUUCUAAAUUCACUACUUAUAAGCUUCAGAAUUGUAAUCCAUUCAUUUUCAGUUAUGAAUUCAACUCGUGAUUCGUCGAUUAACUCACACACAGCUGUAUGCCAUAAACUUGCUAUCUUAGGGUACAUGUCCCAAUGCGAUGCGGACAGAUUGUUGACAAGACUUCCUGGAAAAGACCACUCCGUAAUUUUCAUUGCUUCAUUGAAAAGUUUCAUAGCGAUCAAAUUCUUCACAAUGUGGUAAAUACACGAGAAAUACUUCAUCAAAUCUGGUAUUUCGGUAAAAAAUUUGCA